rnacentral:lncRNA from 10 species
AUGAUCGCGUUGCUCGAGCUGCCGUUGGAAGCUUAGAAGCAGGUGCUACCGUGCUAGAUACAAAGCGAUCUAUUUAAAAGCCCUCUGUCACGCACGCACACUUACUGACGAAUCCUCUGGCUCUCUCCUACCACCGCCCGGUGGCGGAUUCCGGAAUUGGUUCAAAAGGCCUUGAUCCCGAACACCCAGGACAGAGACAGAGUACUUUUCCUACCUCUUUCGCCUGCAUCCUUAGAAAACUCCCGUGGAUGAGAAGAUCCCCAGGCCUUUACAAGCUGUUGUUUUACAAAAGGAGAAACUGAGGCAGGAAGAGGCGGUGGAUGUGCACCAGAGCACGUGGUGCGUCGGUGCAAUAGCUGAGGGCACAUGGAACAUUCACCAAGAUAAACCAUAUGCUGGAACAUAAAAUUUAUGGAUGUCACCCAUGAAGCAGAGUCCUUCAGACCCUCAAUCAAAAACAAGUCUCAUUUUACAUUAAAUUGGAGGACUAUCUGGAGUCUCUGACCACCGUGUGACAGAAAAGAGAGCAGAAUUGUUGCAUGAUGGGUAACACUCAUCAGUAAUCGCUGUUUGCCAAGCCAUCUGGGAGGAGACCAAAGAGCUAUAAAAUAAGUUCAGGCACGGUGGCUCAUGCCUGUAAUCCCAGCACUUUGGGAGGCCGAGGUGGGUGAAUCACCUGAGGUCAGGAGUUCGAGAC